AAAUUGAAGAGUUUGAUCAUGGCUCAGAUUGAACGCUGGCGGCAGGCCUAACACAUGCAAGUCGAACGGUAACAGGAAACAGCUUGCUGUUUCGCUGACGAGUGGCGGACGGGUGAGUAAUGUCUGGGAAACUGCCCGAUGGAGGGGGAUAACUACUGGAAACGGUAGCUAAUACCGCAUAACGUCGCAAGACCAAAGAGGGGGACCUUCGGGCCUCUUGCUAUCGGAUGUGCCCAGAUGGGAUUAGCUAGUAGGUGGGGUAACGGCUCACCUAGGCGACGAUCCCUA
rnacentral:rRNA from 1 species